CCCUAGCCCCGAUUGAAACGGAAAUCCUUUUUACUUUUCCUUUAAAAGUAAAAAGAUUGCAGUGCAAAGCGGGAUUUAGC
rnacentral:sRNA from 1 species